GAUGAACGCUGGCGGCGUGCCUAAUACAUGCCAGUCGAGCGAACAGACGAGGAGCUUGCUCCUCUGACGUUAGCGGCGGACGGGUGAGUAACACGUGGAUAACCUACCUAUAAGACUGGGAUAACUUCGGGAAACCGGAGCUAAUACCGGAUAAUAUAUUGAACCGCAUGGUUCAAUAGUGAAAGACGGUUUUGCUGUCACUUAUAGAUGGAUCCGCGCCGCAUUAGCUAGUUGGUAAGGUAACGGCUUACCAAGGCAACGAUGCGUAGCCGACCUGAGAGGGUGAUCGGCCACACUGGAACUGAGACACGGUCCAGACUCCUACGGGAGGCAGCAGUAGGGAAUCUUCCGCAAUGGGCGAAAGCCUGACGGAGCAACGCCGCGUGUGUGAUGAAGGUCUUCGGAUCGUAAAACUCUGUUAUUAGGGAAGAACAAAUGUGUAAGUAACUAUGCACGUCUUGACGGUACCUAAUCAGAAAGCCACGGCUAACUACGUC
rnacentral:rRNA from 1 species